CCUACGGGUGGCAGCAGUGAGGAAUAUUGGUCAAUGGACGCAAGUCUGAACCAGCCAUGCCGCGUGCAGGAUGACGGCUCUAUGAGUUGUAAACUGCUUUUGUACGAGGGUAAACCCCGAUACGUGUAUCGGGUUGAAAGUAUCGUACGAAUAAGGAUCGGCUAACUCCGUGCCAGCAGCCGCGGUAAUACGGAGGAUGCGAGCGUUAUCCGGAUUUAUUGGGGUUAAAGGGUGCGUAGGCGGGCUGUUAAGUCAGCGGUAAAAGCCCGGGGCUCAACCCCGGCGAGCCGUUGAAACUGGCUGUGUUGAGAUGUCGAGAGGUAUGCGGAAUGCGCAGUGUAGCGGUGAAAUGCUUAGAUAUUGCGCAGAACUCCGAUUGCGAAGGCAGCAUACCGGCGGCGAUCUGACGCUGAGGCACGAAAGCGUGGGUAUCGAACAGGAUUAGAUACCCGUGUAGUC
rnacentral:rRNA from 1 species